rnacentral:misc_RNA from 1 species
CGGAAGCGUCGAUCAAGCUCAUGCACCAGUAUGCACCAACACACACAGACGGAGAUACACAACUCGCACACAUGUGCGCGAAACGAAUACCUUCGCGAGGCGCAUGUAUGGGCCUAGGCGCACAGCCAGGUGAAGUGGGGCCGCAAAUAAAAAGAAGCUCGAAAGAAAACGGAGAAUCAAGACAGAAAGAACAAGGGCGAGGCAGUGUCUCACCAUACUGUGAAACGCUGGCGCUACGCAGGCGCGCGUACACGAAGCUGAUAGGGCAUUGUUUUUUUUUUUCGUUUUGCUUUUUAUCUAUAUACGCAGAGGAUGUAGGGGUGUCUUGGACAGGGAAUGCGGACGACCAACUCUCGCCCUCUCUCCACCUUGCAUUUUUCUCUUCCCCGACGCUAACGAGUCAGUGCGUACCUGUCCCUGCGGAAUGAUUAUCCUUGUGCAUGCGUGCGCGUGUGUGCCUUCGAUCGACUAUUUUUUUUUGUAUGCAUCCUUUGAACGCUAUCCUCGAGACGUAACGGUGCGACGAGAUCGGGGGCUGAUCGGGCAUUGCUUGCUCAACCAAAGCGAGAUGCGCAUUCUCCACUGCAGUGUUCCUUCUAGUUUUCAUUCGCUUGGAUAAAGGGCCGCAGUGGCCGCCUGGUCUCUUCUUGUGAUGUCCACUGUCCGUGUCCUCAGAGGGAGGCCCGCAUUCUAUUUGGCAAGCCCUGCAUACUCCGCACCCUCGUCCGUGCACACAAGCACAACACGUACGCACCUCGAUGCUCCGGUGUGUGAAAGACGCACUCUAUUCCUGCCAGUGUAUGAGUUUGGUGUAGGCGGCACGAUCGCGCACACCGCACCAGCAGUCGGGAUCGUUCGAGGCGAACAGACGGACUCUUGCUAGUGGGUCCUCGGUAUUCGUUGUCUCCCUCCAUCCCUCUCACUCCUGCCCCCACGCUUUCUCCCUCACGCGGACGAAGGAAAGCGAAGCACUCCUUUGCAUGUAAAUCGGGGGGCCGGAAGGAAAAAAAAACGGACCCACAAAAUGGCAGCACCAAAAGUGUCAAAUUGAGCGCGCGCGAUAGAGUGAUAGAUAAGGGUAGGGUGGGGGAAGGAAAAGAAUGGUUCUCUACCGCCUUGCGUCCCGUUCUCGAAUCUCGUCGCUCCCUUUUUCUCUCGUCGAUGCCAUAGCCGUCGUGCACCUUCGUCUCUUGUUUUUUUUUGCUGGUUGGCUUUGUUUCUUUUCGCUUCCUUUGCCCUACAUUUUUCGCAGUGUCGGGCGGCUGUACCCUCGCCCGCCCACUCUCCCCUUCUACCUCUCCUCCUCCUCGCCUACACACUCUCACGUGCGGGCCGCUGUCUGCAUUCCGCUUUUGUGAUGUAUGUUCGUUUCUUGCUCAUUUGCUUCGGGUGCCCUCUGUUUGAAGCGGUGUUCUACAGUUGCGCCUCUCCCUAUUACGAUGCCAACUACGGCUGCCUUUUCGGUUCUCCUACCCUGUCCAUCUCUGGCAAGAUGGCUAGGCAAGGGUCUACUGCAGUUUCUCAAAAGAUGCGACUGCAAUCUGUGUCUUCCUUUCUUUUUCGUGUGCGUGCGUGGGUGUGGUAUUCGUGUACGCACGAGGGGGUUGUGUGCAGCCCGAUGAGUGGCUAGCACACGGAUUUUUCUCUUGCAGGAAUAUAUAUAUAUAUAUGUAACGGUGGCUGCGCCAUGUAUGCCUCUCCGUGUAUUCCGUUCGCGCGUUUUGCUUUUCUUCCCCUCGAAUUCAGCAGCAGAACUUUACUGACUCUGCAGUCGUCCCCCUCUGUGUGCGUGUCGGUCUGUGUCUUUCUUCAGCUCUGCCCACCCCUCCCUACCCCUUCUUUGUUUCAGACGCACGCGUGGGUGGGGUGUAUGUCUGUCAAGGUGCGUACGCGGGUGAGUAAUGUUCCCCGUCGGUUAUUUGGUUUCGACUUCGUCAUGUCUGUCGGCUUAUAUCGUAUUACGGAUUCGGCUCAUUUUUUGUAAUUGUCAUGUUUUCACUUUUUGGGGGGGCUCUUUAAGUUUUCGCCUCCUUUCUCCUCUCUCUCGUAUGUUCGCUUUUUUACACAUCGCGGGUGUGCGUGUGUGGGUGUGGGUCGGUGUAAGUGCCCCUCCCUCGACCCCACCCCACCUUGCGCCGCGUGCAUCUUUCAUGCUCUUUCCUUCAUCGUUGUCCACGUGCUUUGUCCUCUUGCCUGUUGUUGUUGUUGCUCCCAUCCUCGAUUCAGCAUGUUUGCCGGCACGGCCUCCGCUGGCUCCUCCCCCCAUUCCACCCAAGAUCCACCGUGUCCUCAUAACGGCAGCUAUUUCUCUUCUCCUUCCAUGUGCGCGGUGGGUUGAUGUGUGUGGCUGGCACACGCCUCGCUCCGUCUUCCUUUCUACGCUGUCCUAGAUGUGUGCUGGUGCGCAAGGGCGUUUUCCUGUCUUCUGCUCAAGUGCACCUGCCACGCUUUCGUAGCCCUGCAUUGCUAUGUCGCCUACCUUCAUCUCUCUGCCCGUCUCCUCUUUUCCUUUUCCUCUCUGUUUGUAUGUGUGUGUGUUGUGUUUCGUGGCACUUGCACGUUGCCGGUGAGCUCCUCAG